GACGAACGCUGGCGGCGUGCUUAACACAUGCAAGUCGAACGGAAAGACCCUGCUUGCAGGGUACUCGAGUGGCGAACGGGUGAGUAACACAUGGGUGAUCUGCCCUUCACUUCGGGUUAAGCCUGUUCAACUGGGUCUAAUACCUACUAGGUGCCAUUUUUAGUCUGAUGGUUGGAAAGUUUUUUCGGUUUAGGAUGAGCUCGCGGCCUAUCAGCUUGUUGGUGGGGUAAUGGCCUACCAAGGCGGCGACGGGUAGCCGGCCUGAGAGGGUGGACGGCCACAUUGGGACUGAGAUACGGCCCAGACUCCUACGGGAGGCAGCAGUGGGGAAGAUUGAACAAGGGGCGCAAGCCUGAUGCAGCGACGCCGCGUGGGGGAUGACGGCCUUCGGGUUGUAAACUACUUUCGCUAGGGACGAAGCUUUUUGUGACGGUACCUAGAUAAGAAGCACCGGCUAACUACGUG
rnacentral:rRNA from 1 species